GUUCAGAGGAGUCGCUUUAACAUCUUGUGGAUCUCCAGGCACUACAGACGAUCGACGAAGAAACAAUACAUUAACCUUGGGCAUAUAGAAGAGGGAUUUUUGUUGGAUCUAUACGAUCCUUAUUCUGAGUAUCUUAGACUAAGAGACAUAUGAAAAUGGAACUAGACACAGUUAACACUAAGAUUACUAAGGUUGCCUUUGACCCUAGUAGCAAUAUACAAAACCAGAACGAAAUUUUUUGGCUCCAAGUCAAAGUCACCACAUCACACUUACAAUAAUUAAAAUGAAUAAUUCAAAUAAAUGUAUAAAAUUGCGGAAA